rnacentral:sRNA from 1 species
UUCACAGCCCUUGAGACUGAGCCUUUGGUUAUCCUCAGAACAAGUACAGCACUAGCAGAAAGCCAAGCUUCCCUACCCUGUCCCACCAAUGUGCAUGCCUCAGCCCUGUUGAGGGAGUAGUUCAGCCUCUAUACCCAUUCAAGCCUUGUCUUCC